rnacentral:lncRNA from 1 species
AUAUGAACAGUACACUGUGAUUAUUACAGCCUGGAAACGACUGAACUCGAUCAAUAAUCCUAUCUAUCUAUCCAUCUAUCCAUCUAUCUAUCUAUCUAUCUAUCUAUCUAUCUAUCUAUCUAUCUAUCUAUCUAUCUAAUGUUUAAAUAUGUAGUUGAUGUAUAACCCUCUGCUCAACAGUCAAUAAACUGUUUCAUGUCAGUAAUCAAAACUUGAAGAUUUUAAAAACAAAAUCUCUCUUGUUUUAAUCACCUAUAGCUAUAAUUGUAUACACCCCAAGUCUCUUUUCAGAAAAAUAAUUAAAUAAAGUGGGUUACUAAAGAUCAGUGCAACUCAGAACAACAAUUUAUCAAGGAACAUUAAAGUAAAACAAUAGAGAAGUAAAUUUAAAAGGGUUGAUCAUAAUUGUAAGUAAAAUGUAUUAAAAACAAAAUCAUUUGAAAUCAAUCAUUUCAAUUUUACACAUCAGAGGCUUCAAGAGUCAUUGUCUCUGAAGACAUUUUACAGUAAUUAGAAUAUCUGACUGGUCUCUUAACUGAACAAGACCUGAAGGAAGAAAAAUCACUUGACUUUAUAAUGGAUUUAGAGUACUCUCAAUCACAACCUAAUUUGAAUAAAUAUUUGUAACAUCAUAUAUUUUUCAAUGAUCUUCAAAAUAAAGUGACUGUCUGUUUUACUUUUCUUUCCACAUUAAACAUUUCUCCUCUCUCCUUUCUGUAGCCAUUUAGGGAUUUAAACAGCAACUGAUUGUGUAAUAUAUUAUUAUUACUACUAUUUAGACUGAGCAAUAGCAGUAGUUCUAAAACUGUUAAAAAAAAAAUAGUAGUUUUUGUCAAAACCUUGUAGCAAUUACAAUAUGGUGCUUCAGUAUACAUCAGAUUAUUUAAACAAUUCUCUCUGAUCUUACAUGUAGACAUCUAUGAAUUUACCUGUACUAUUUCUCUCCCUAGGUUUUUUUAUUUUUUUAUGUCACCUGCCCAUUAAAUAACAGUGUGAACCACCAUCCCCCUCUGUGGGAGUUUGAAUGAUGUGUCUACAGAGGGUUUGAAUUUUGCUGCAGU